rnacentral:pre_miRNA from 1 species
AAACCCAGAAAAGCGACGGACAAGAACCUUUAGUCUGUCGCUUUUCUGGGUUUUU